GGGACAUUGUGGAGACAGACACUGUGGGGACAGGUGUGGAGACAGACACCGUGGGGACAGGUGUGGAGACAGACACCGUGGGGACAGGUGUGGAGACAGACACCGCGGGGACAGACACUGUGGGGACAGACACUGUAGGGACAGGUGUGGGGACAGACAUCGCGGG